rnacentral:rRNA from 1 species
GAUGAACGCUGGCGGUAUGCUUAACACAUGCAAGUCGAACGGACUCUUCGGAGUUAGUGGCGGAUGGGUGUGGAACGCGUGAGAAUCUGGACUUGGGUUCGGGACAACUACUGGAAACGGAGGCUAAUACCGGAUGUGCGGAGAGGUCAGAGAGCAAUUGCCUGGAGAUGAGCUCGCGUCUGAUUAGAUAGUUGGUGAGGUAAAGGCUCAACAAGGCAGCGAUAAGUAGCAGAGCUGAGAGGAUGACCAGCCACAAUGGCUCUGAGACACGGCCCAGACGACUAUGGGAGGAUGCAGUGAGGAAUUAUCCGCAAUGGGCGAAUGACUGACGGAGGAAUACCGCGUGUGGGAAGAAGGCUCUUGGGUUGUAAACCUCUUUACUUAGGGAAGAACAAAUUGACGGUACCUAAGGAAUCAGCAUCGGCUAACUCCGUG